AGCUCCCCGCCGGCCCCCUUCACAGGCCAUGACUUCUUAGAGCCCUUAAGUAAGAAGGAGCCGUUUCCAGGAGCGCCGGUUGCCAUGGAACCCAGGCAUUCCCUGCUCCCUGCCUGGCCUGGCCUCCCCAGGAGACCAGAGGCAGGAAGGACUCCCAAGCAGCGCCCGUCAGAGCAGGACGAUCCCAGCGAGGCCGAGCUCCCCCUCAUUUUACAGAAGGGGAAACUGAGGCCCGGGAGACCAAAGGAAUCAUCCAAGGUCACACAGGCGGGCGGUCCGCCUCGGGGGCACGACUCUCACUCAGCUCCUGGGACUUGGGUCCGGUUCUCUUUCCACGGCAGCAGGGGAGGGGUUUGGCCUGACGCUGCUGGGGGGAAGGACCUCCAGAUCCUCCGGCCAUUCUCGCUGAAGCAAGCUGUGAGCAGCAUCUUCAGGCGGGGCCCAAACCCCACGGCUGGGGGGGGCUCCCCCUCCCCCUCCCCAGUGUUUGAAGGGAUAGUUCUCUGGGUAUGUGAACCCUCCUGAAAUGUGGGAUCCAGAUCUGCUCUGAACAGGGCAAACAGGCUACACGGGGACCAUCACUUCCUCGAUCCAGGCUUCCUUUAAUGUGGUCCAAGUUUGCAAGACCUUUUGACUCUGAUGAAAUUUUGAGUGCCUAAUUUUUCAGCCUCACUCCCCUACCUUUGGCUAAAUACACUUAAUGUUUGUGGAUUGACCUGACUUUUUGGACCCAAGAGCAAAAUUUUACAUUUAUUGUAAUGAAUUUCAUCUUCAUUUGAUUUAAACCAAUGUUCAAACCCAUCAUCAUCUUACUGAGUCUUUUUUUAAAACCCUUACCUUCCAUCUUGGAGUCAAUACUGUGUAUUGGCUCCAUGGCAGAAGAGUGGUAUGGGUUAGGCAAUGGGGGUGAAGUGACUUGCCCAGGGUCACACAGCUGGGAAGUGUCUGAGUUCAGAUUUGAACCCAGGACCUCCCAUCUCUGGACUUGGCUCUCAAUCCACUGAGCUACCAAACCUUUUAAACCUUACCUUCAGGCAUUCAUGAUUCUGAUACCAACUCCUUAUCCAUUAUAAUAUGCUGCUUCAUAAUAUAUAUGUUUAUACAUAUAUAACAUAUACACCAAACAAUCAAUACUAAGUAUUGAUUCUAAGGCAAAAACAGUAAGGGCUAGACAAUUGGAGUUAAGUGACUUGCCCAGGGUCACACAGCUAGGAAGUACCUGAAAUCAAAUUUGAACCCAGGUCUUCUCAAUUCCAGGCCUGGCUCUCUAACCACUGUGCUACCUAGCUGCCCCUGUCUUACUGGAUCUUGACCCUUUCAGUUAACAUGUUAGAUAUACCUUCAACGUUUGUAUAAACAAAAAUGGCUAAUAUGUACACAAGGUGCCCCCCAAAUCAUAACACGGUAAUUAAAAACUGCACUAAGAUGUUGGGGAUACCCUGUAGCAUAUUGGAAGUUUUGUAAAAUACUUUGCUUAUGUUAUUCCAUUUGGUCUUCUCAACUACCUUUCGAGGGAGGUGCAAAUAUUGGCAAAUCUGAUAAGAUACGGCUUUUUUCAAACCACUGGUAAAUAGGUUAAUAGGAUGGGGCUAAGUAUAGAUCCUGGGUGCAAUCGACUGCCAACCUCCUUCCAAGCUGGGACCAAACUCUUUGAGAAUGGGACAUUUGCCAGUUCCAUGUUCAUCUAACUGCAUUGUGGUCGAGUUCACACAUCUCCAUCUUUCCCACAAGAUUUGCAUUAGCCUUGUCAAACGUUUCAAGGUAAACUACCUCUAUGGUUUGCCCGUGACUGGCCAAUCAAGUAACCUUGUCCCAAAAGGAAAUGAGGUUAGUCUGGUAGGACCUGUUCUUGCUGGGGCCAUGUUAGUUCUGUGUGAUCAUUUCCUUCUCCAGAUGUCUGUUUCUAUGCUUUUAGUAGCUUGUCCUAGAACUUUGCCAGAAAUCAAAAUAAAGCCCAUUGUCCUACAG
ensembl:lncRNA